rnacentral:rRNA from 1 species
AGUGAACGCUGGCGGUAGGCCUAACACAUGCAAGUCGAACGGCAGCACAGUAAGAGCUUGCUCUUACGGGUGGCGAGUGGCGGACGGGUGAGGAAUACAUCGGAAUCUACUUUUUCGUGGGGGAAAACGUGGGCAACUUACCUCUAAUACCCCAACGGACCAACGGCGGAAAGCAGGGGAUCUUGGGCCCUUGCCGGAUGAAUUGCCCCGGUGGAGGUUUGGCUAGUUGGGGGGGAAAGGGCCCACCAAGGGGAGGCCCCGUAGCGGGUCUGAGAGGAUGAUCAGACACACUGGACCUGAGACACGGGCCAGACGCCUACGGGAGGCAGCAGGGGGGAAUAUUGGACAAUGGGCGCAAGCCUGAUCCAGCCAUACCGGGUGGGUGAAGAAGGCCUUCGGGUUGUAAAGCCCUUUUGUUGGGAAAGAAAAGCAGCAGGUUAAUACCCCGCUGUUCUGACGGUACCCAAAGAAUAAGCACCGGCUAACUUCGU